rnacentral:rRNA from 1 species
UACGGAGGGUGCGAGCGUUGUCCGGAAUCACUGGGCGUAAAGGGCGCGUAGGCGGCUUCUUAAGCGUGUGGUGAAAGCUCAGGGCUCAACUCUGAGUCGGCCAUGCGAACUGGGAGGCUUGAGCACUGUAGAGGCAGGUGGAAUUCCGGGUGUAGCGGUGGAAUGCGUAGAGAUCCGGAAGAACACCGGUGGCGAAGGCGGCCUGCUGGGCAGUAGCUGACGCUGAGGCGCGAAGC